AUUGAACGCUGGCGGCAUGCCUUACACAUGCAAGUCGAACGGCAGCACGGGUGCUUGCCCCUGGUGGCGAGUGGCGCACGGGUGAGUAAUACAUCGGAACAUGUCCUGUAGUGGGGGAUAGCCCGGCGAAAGCCGGAUUAAUACCGCAUACGAUCUACGGAUGAAAGCGGGGGACCUUCGGGCCUCGCGCUUUCGGGUUGGCCGAUGGCUGAUUAGCUAGUUGGUGGGGUAAAGGCCUACCAAGGCGACGAUCAGUAGCUGGUCUGAGAGGACGACCAGCCACACUGGGACUGAGACACGGCCCAGACUCCUACGGGAGGCAGCAGUGGGGAAUUUUGGACAAUGGGCGAAAGCCUGAUCCAGCAAUGCCGCGUGUGUGAAGAAGGCCUUCGGGUUGUAAAGCACUUUUGUCCGGAAAGAAAUCCUUGGCCCUAAUACGGUCGGGGGAUGACGGUACCGGAAGAAUAAGCACCGGCUAACUACGUG
rnacentral:rRNA from 1 species